GACGAACCGUGCGAACGUUAUUCGGAAUCACUGGGCUUAAAGCGCGUGUAGGCGGGACGGCACGUCGGUAGCUGAAAUCCCCCCGGCUCAACCGGGGGAACGGGCGCCGAUACGACCGCCCUCGAGGGACGUAGGGGGGACCUGGAACUUCCGGUGGAGCGGUGAAAUGCGUUGAGAUCGGAAGGAACGCCCGUGGCGAAAGCGAGGUCUGGCGUUUUU
rnacentral:rRNA from 1 species